CAGGAAGCCACCACAGUACUACGAAAAUGCAAAAGAUAAGUAAGAUAAUUGUACAAUUUGAUGGCAAGUUUGGAAGCUCUGCAGGUUACUGCUUUUCAAGGGUUCCUUUUUCGUGUUGAGGGUCUCUGCCUUCCAUCCCCUUUCACGAACAAUAUUAAAGCAACAGUGGAAUCAAUUAAUCAAAGUACGUUCCUGUAAGUUCUACUCGGAAACCUCAAAUUAUCAACGCUGAAUCAAAACAUUGAAGUAAUCCUUGCUAAAGGACAGAACUCAACAAAAUAAUCUGUGAUAGAGCCAGUCACCAACUCUACUCAUGGCGUUCAACUAUGAAACAAGAGAAAAUCUGCAGAUGCUGGAAAUCCAAGCUACAUUUACAAAAUGCUGGAAGGGGGAGGAGACAAGAGGAAGGUGAAGGACAGAUACUGCGUGCAUAUAUAAAUUCCCCAUAAGUGUAACAAUGUAUUCACCUCAACCACUCCCUGUGUGGACGAAUUCAACAUUCUCAGCACUCCCUUGGUCAGAGAGACCAUUCUGCAUUGGAUAGAAUCUUACAGACCCUUUGAGUUCCUCCAGGAUAGGAGGUCCCAACCUGGGCUCCACAGAUCCGUUUCUAAAUUGUAUUGGUCCAUGCAUAAAGAAGAUUGGGAACUCUACUCCAGGACCUUCUAUGUUGCUACGCUUCCUGCUUCAGAAAGAAUGACACCAUGAAAAGGAUGUAACUGUGCAGGAUACGGAAGAACGAUUGGUGCUGUUCUUCACGGGAUUUCAAAUAGGAAGUCUGGCGGGAACAGAGAGGAACCAUUGCAUAUCCCAUGUCUCACGAUGAUCCUUUGGUCUCAGUAUCUGAAGAUGACAGGCAGUCUGCCUUCAAGAGAGUGAAUCCAAGAAAAGUAUCUGGUCUGAACGGAGUACUGAAGACCUGGACUGACCAACUGGCUGUUGCAUUCACAGAAAUCUUCUACCUCUUGCUCCGGCAGUGUGCAGUGCCCACCUGCUUCAAGCAGGCUUCAAUCGUAUCGAUGUCCAAGAAGAACAUGAUAAUGUCUAAAUGACUAUUGCCCAGUGGCACUUACAGACACAAUGAUGAAAUGUUUUGAGAGGCUGGUGUUGAAGCAUAUCAGCUCGUGUCUGAGUGACGACUUGGAUCUAAUUCGCCUACCGAAGCAACAGGUCUACAGCAGAUGCUAUCUCUUUGGGUCUUCACGCAACACUGGAACAUCAUUCAUUCAUUAGGAUGCUCUUUAUUGAUUACAGCUCAGCAUUUAGCACAAUCACCCCCUCAAAACUGAUCAAUAACCUUGAAGACCUGGGCCUCAAUACCCUGUGCAAAUGGAUCCUGGAUUUCCUCACUUGUAGACCUCAGUCAGUGUGGAUUGGCAAAGAAAGCCUCCACCACAGUCUCCAUCAGCACAGGAACACCACAGAGAUGUGUACUUCACCCUCCUUGCUCUACGUGCUUUACACCUAAGACUGUGUGGCUAUGUACAGCUCUAACACCGAAUACAAGUUUGCUGAUGAUACCACUGCUGUGGGCUGUAUCAAAGGUGGUGAUGAAUCAGCAUACAGGAGGGAGCUUGUAAAUUUGGCUGAGUGGUCAAGUAGCAACAACCUCUCAUUCAAUGUCAAUAAGACCAAGGAAAUGAGUGUAGACUGCAGGAGAGGGAAACUAGAGGUCCAUGAACCAGUAAUCAUUGGAGGAUCAGAGCUGGAGAGGGUCAGUAACUUUAAAUUCCUGGGUGUCACUAUCUUAGAGGACCUGUCCUGGACCCAUCAUGUAAAUGUCAUUGGAAGGAGAGCAUGAGCCUUUACUUCCUCAGGAAUCUGCGGAGAAUCAGCACGUCAUCAAAAGCCUUGGCAAACUUCUACGGAUGUGUGCUGACUGGCUGAAUUACAGCCUGGUAUGGGCACACCAAUGCUUUUUGAGUUGAAAAUCCUACAAAAGGUACUGGAUUCUCUCAGUGUAUCAUGGGUAAAACCCUCCCAACCAUUGAGCACAUCUACAUGAAACAUUGCCGUAGAAAAGCAGCAUCCAUCAUCGAAGACCCUGAACACCCAGGCCACGCCCUUUUCUUGUUGCUGCUAUCAGGUAGAUGAUACAAGAGCCUCAGGACUCGCACCACCGGGUUCAAGAACAGUUACUACCCUUCAACUAUCAGGCUCAUGAGGAAAGUGGAAAACUACACAUAUAAGGAUUUUUUUAAAUCUUAUUCAUGCUCAUUAUUUAUUGUUAUUUAUUUAUUAUCUGCAUUUGCACGGUUUGUUUACAGUUUACAGUUCCUGAUGCUUACAGUUUACAGAUCCUGUUUAUAAUUACCGUUCUAUAGAUUUGCUGAGUAUACCCACAGGAAAAGAACCUCAGGGUUGUAUGUGGUGACAUGCAUGUACUCCGAUAAUAAACUUUACUUUGAACUUU